rnacentral:rRNA from 1 species
AGAGUUUGAUCAUGGCUCAGAUUGGACGCUGCGGCAGGCUUACACAUGCAGUCGAACGUAACAGAGAAAGCUUGCUUUCUUGCUGACGAGUGGCGGACGGGUGAGUAAUGCUUGGGAAUCUGGCUUAUGGAGGGGGAUUACUACGGGAAACUGUAGCUAAUACCGCGUAAUAUCUUCGGAUUAAAGGGUGGGACUUUCGGGCCACCUGCCAUAAGAUGAGCCCAAGUGGGAUUAGGUAGUUGGUGGGGUAAAGGCCUACCAAGCCGACGAUCUCUAGCUGGUCUGAGAGGAUGACCAGCCACACUGGAACUGAGACACGGCCCAGACUCCUACGGGAGGCAGCAGUGGGGAAUAUUGCACAAUGGGGGGAACCCUGAUGCAGCCAUGCCGCGUGAAUGAAGAAGGCCUUCGGGUUGUAAAGUUCUUUCGGUGAUGAGGAAGGUGUUUGUUUUAAUAGAACAAGCAAUUGACGUUAGUCACAGAAGAAGCACCGGCUAACUCCGUGCCAGCAGCCGCGGUAAUACGGAGGGUGCGAGCGUUAAUCGGAAUGACUGGGCGUAAAGGGCACGCAGGCGGUGACUUAAGUGAGAUGUGAAAGCCCCGAGCUUAACUUGGGAAUUGCAUUUCAUACUGGGUCGCUAGAGUAUUUUAGGGAGGGGUAGAAUUCCACGUGUAGCGGUGAAAUGCGUAGAGAUGUGGAGGAAUACCGAAGGCGAAGGCAGCCCCUUGGGAAUAUACUGACGCUCAUGUGCGAAAGCGUGGGGAGCAAACAGGAUUAGAUACCCUGGUAGUCCACGCUGUAAACGCUGUCGAUUUGGGGAUUGGGCUUAGAGCUUGGUGCCCGUAGCU